UUUCUAUGGAACGCCAUGACUGCCUUAUGUUAAUGAUCAGCACCAUUAUAUGCAGUGCUCACACCAUUAUAUGCAGUGCUCACACCAUUAUAUUCAGUGCUCACAACAUUAUAUUAAGUGCUCACAACAUUAUACGCAGUGGUCCAAACAUUAUAUGCAGUGGUCACAACAUUAUAUGAAGUGGUCAAAACAUUAUAUGAAGUGCUCACAACAUUAUAUGAAGUGCUCACAACAUUAUACGUUUUUUGUUGUAUGAUGAGAUUGAUGUAUGAUGAGAUUGAUGUAUGAUGAGAUCAUUCGGUAAACUUCGUUUUUUUAGCGGAAAUUACCGAAUCCAUAAUUGGUAAAUUACGGUAAUGCCCAGCAAACAAAUUUAAACAGUUAUUAAAGUCAUGUUAUCAUAAGGCAGUAUACAAUAUUUAAAACUGAUUGAAAUAAGUAAGGAAAAGAUGAAACUAAGAGG
rnacentral:lncRNA from 1 species